rnacentral:rRNA from 1 species
UGUGACCUCAAAUCAGGUAGGACUACCCGCUGAACUUAAGCAUAUCAAUAAGCGGAGGAAAAGAAACUAACAAGGAUUCCCCUAGUAACUGCGAGUGAAGCGGGAAAAGCUCAAUUUAAAAUCUGUCAGUCUUUGGCUGUCCGAGUUGUAAUCUAGAGAAGUGUUAUCCGCGCUGGACCGUGUACAAGUCUCCUGGAAU